rnacentral:lncRNA from 1 species
CUUUUCCAAACAAUGAUCAUUAUGUAUAUUGUUGACUUAUUUUUUUGUCGAUUCGUCCAUAUUUAUAUGUUUUUUUUCUUUCUCUCUCUCUAUUGAGGCAUAUAAUAGAAAGAUUUCAGAUUGAAUGUAUCAAAUUUUGAGUCCGACGGCCGUGAACUCAUGUUUUUACUCUUUAAACUUCGGGAACCACGUAAAAGGAUCAAUAUAUAAAUCUGUUAUUUUUCUCUACUGUUGAAGCAUAUGAUAAAAAGAUCAUAACAUGUCAUUUUUCAUAUCGCAUGUAUUAUCAGCCCUCGGUCAAUAUCAGCCCUCGAGCCAUGCGGCUCUUGGGCUGAUAUUGAACCUAGGGCUGAUAAUACAUGCGAUAUGAAAAAUG